UCCUCUCCUCCUCCUAUGACGCUACUGUCGCUGCUCCCUCCUCUCUUCGUCCUCAUCGCCUCCCUUCCUCUGAUUCUGGGGUCGGCUUCGCCGACGGAGCCAUCUCCUUGACCAAGAUUCAAGAAGAGGUUAGGUUCAUCUAUUUCGUCCAAGAAGUUAAGGGGGGUUUUUCUUGCCUCCGCAAUUGAUUGUUUUGAUUCGUCUGGGUGCCCUACGUUGAGUCGGUUGUGCAAACUAAGCAUCUUUCUCUGCUUUCCAAAGCGACGUUCAUUGGUGUAAUCCUUUGUGAUGCAAUCUUGGGGUUCCCAAAUGAUACAGGACAACAAAGAAAGGGUUCUUUGCUUCUGGUUGCACACACACAAGGAGCUGGAGAAUCAAACACUUGCAACAUCAGGGUGACAGGCAUAUAUGGCAGGUAUUCUUUUAUGAGGGCCUUCCCGUGGAGGUGGAGUUGGUGUUUCCUUGGCAAGUAUUUAUUUUCUACGUGGAAGUCCCAGGUAUGCCCGACUGCUUCCAGCUUCCAUGGCAAACAAAGCAUUGCGCAGCCGUCAAGCUCCCAGUAAAAGGAAUAAAAUAAAAUAAAAAGAAUAGAUCAUAUAAUGAAUAGAUCAUAUUAGUCCACACAGCCCAAACAGAAUGGGGGGCCCAAAUCACAUCACACCCCAUCAUCUCGACUCAAAACGGAAAAGAAAAAGCACGCCCAUAUCAGACUUUUCAGAGGAAGCAUCGAUGGAUGUAUGUCGACUCAGAAGAGCUUGUCGGAGGCGGAGGAUGCAUCCAGAGGAUGGAUGAGAUAGGUGAGGAGUAAGGCAGCCAGCAUCAGCACAUAAGCAAUCCCUUGGUCGAUCGCCACCCCUGCACCAUCACAGUAUUAAGGUUCUUUCGCAUCGAAGAGUCGGACAUAGAUAGAUUACACCUACAUUUAGAGGGAGAAGAGAAGAGAAAGGAAGCGUGACUCACCGUCGCUGGUGGGAGCAGGCGCCGGCGCCGGCGCCGGAGACUGUGCCCGGACGGCGGGCACCAGCACGAUAGCGGAGAUGAGGGCCACGACGACCAUCAGGAAGGAAGGAACCCGAGCCAUCUCCCUCCGCCUUCAGAACACCGGAAAACCCAAAGUGCGCAAGGAUAUCCCCCCCGCCCCCGAACACAAACAGAGGAGAGCAGCACGCGCAGAGCCUCACAGCCCGAACAGAAUGUGCUUCUCUUUUCCUAUGCUUUCCUCGCUUCUUUCGAAUGCCAAGGGGUGGGAAGAAGAGAGGGCUUUAUAGAGAGACCAGAGGGAGACGGAGGGCCGGCCCGCGGACGCGUAACGCGACCGCUCCGGGGCCCACCCACAUGCAACGGCCGGCUGGCUGGGGCCCGCCCGCCAGCCUGGAUUCGGGUCCCUUGCCUGAUUCUCAUAGUUCUACUUACGCUGGCGAAGUCGCUACCCGCUCCGGUACCAGGUGGGACGGACGCGGAUCAGCUUUGCAUGUGGUCGAGUGCCGACCACUCGAUAUCUUAUUUAGAGCUUGCACCGAGGAUGAACAAAAAUAAUGGGUUUAGCUGAUUGAGAGUCAAGAUGGAAUUGGGUGAACAAGAUGAUGGGGAUCCAGCGAGGCGUUGUUCCAUUGUUGUGCAAAGAGUCGGAUAGUUGGAUUAGGUCUCUGGGACCAGAGAGACAUGCUGAAUCAGGACAGGAAGAAAGAGAAGCUGGGAGGAUCUCCAUAAUUCAAAUUGCUUGUGGUCACAUCGUUGCUCCUGCCGUUACUCAUCGAGUGAAGCAUCCUGCCAAAAACAAUGAGUGUGAAGAAUCCACCAGCUGCGAUUCGAGUGAAAGGGUCUCUGGUGGUCCGGUGCCUUCUCAACUUGGAUCCAAGAUCCAGAAGAAUCAUAGAUUCAUUCCUAAGCUUCAAAGAAAGGCUCUGAUAAAGUGGUGUCAGAUUUAUUGUUGUGAUGCAUCGACCAUUUCAAUCUGACAUUUGCUUCAGUUACAUCACCCCCUGGCCAUGGUAUAUCCAGAGUCUCUCACCUGUCACACCGAGGCUAACAAUUUCCAGUUCAUUAUUCCACUGUAAUUUCUAUCAUCCAAUGCUCACCAAACUUCAGUUAGCGUUGGUCGAUACAUUUCCUCCGAUGAAUCCAGGUAAGCAUCAGCUGUGGAGAUAACAUGAAUUUGUACAGUAGAAUCGUCUUCCGAGCAGUGUGGAUUAACAUCACAUUAAGUUCAUGCA